rfam:Triticum aestivum genome assembly, contig: Triticum_aestivum_CS42_TGACv1_scaffold_225553_3B
GGUUUCGUAGUGUAGUGGUUAGCACUCCAGACUUUGAAUCUGGCGACCUGGGUUCGAAUCCCAGCGAGACCU